UACGGAGGGUGCAAGCGUUGCUCGGAAUUAUUGGGCGUAAAGCGCACGCAGGUGGCGAGGUAAGUCAGAUGUGAAAAUCCUGAGCUUAACUUGGGAAGUGCAUCUGAUACUGCCACGCUAGAGUACGGAAGAGGGGAGUGGAAUUCCCAGUGUAGAAGUGAAAUUCGUAGAUAUUGGGAGGAACACCGGUGGCGAAAGCGGCUCCCUGGUCCGAUACUGACACUCAUGUGCGAAAGCGUGGGGAGCAAACAGG
rnacentral:rRNA from 1 species